CUAUUUGCUUAUGAUACGGUAAACAAGAACCUAUCUGCAAAACCUGGGGAGCAGUCCAAACUCCCGGUUCCUGCAUCAUUGAUUGCAGGUGCUUGUGCUGGAGUGAGUUCAACUAUAUGCACAUAUCCACUUGAACUACUCAAGACUAGACUAACUAUCCAGAGAGGUGUUUAUAAUGAGGCCCUUACUCCUAGUCUUAUUGGUGUUAUUCCAUAUUCAGCUACCAAUUACUUUGCCUACGACACACUACGCAAGGCAUACCGAAAAUUCUUCAAACAAGAGAAGAUUGGCAACAUUGAAACCCUUUUGAUUGGCUCAGCAGCUGGUGCUAUUUCAAGUACUGCGACUUUUCCACUUGAGGUGGUUCGCAAGCAAAUGCAAGUUGGAGCUCUCAGUGGACGACGGGUUUACAAAGAUGUGCUUCAUGCACUUGUUAGCAUACUAGAAAAAGAAGGGAUCCAGGGUCUAUAUAGAGGGCUUGGACCUAGUUGCAUGAAGUUAGUGCCAGCCGCGGGAAUCUCUUUCAUGUGUUACGAAGCAUGCAAGAAGAUACUUGAUAAUGACGAAGAGGAAUAG